rnacentral:tRNA from 1 species
GCCCAGAUGGCGGAAUUGGCAGACGCAACGGACUCAAAAUCCGUCGACCUCGCGGUCAUAAGGGUUCGACCCCCUUUCUGGGUA